rnacentral:rRNA from 1 species
UACGGAGGGUGCUAGCGUUGUUCGGAAUCACUGGGCGUAAAGCGCGUGUAGGCGGCCCACUAAGUCUGAUGUGAAAGCCCGGGGCUCACCCCCGGAAGUGCAUUGGAAACUGGUGGACUCGAGUCCCGGAGAGGAGGGUGGAAUUCCUGGUGUAGCGGUGAAAUGCGUAGAUAUCAGGAGGAACACCGGUGGCGAAGGCGGCCAACUGGACGAAUACUGACGCUGAGACACGAAAGCGUGGGGAGCAAACAGG